rnacentral:rRNA from 1 species
GACGAACGCUGGCGGCGUGCUUAACACAUGCAAGUCGAACGGAAAGGCCCUGCUCUUGUGGGGUGCUCGAGUGGCGAACGGGUGUGUAACACGUGAGUAACCUGCCCUUGACUUUGGGAUAACAUCAGGGAACUGGGGGUAAUAUCCGAGAUGAGAUCCUGCUGCAUGGUGGGGGGUGGAAAGUUUCGGCGUUUGGGGAUGGACUCGCGGCUUAUCAGCUUGUUGGGGUGGUAGGGGCUUACGCAGGCUUUGACGGGUAGCCGGCCUGAGAGGGUGGACGGCGACAUUGGGACUACGAUACGGCCCAGAAUCCUACGGGAGGCAUGAGUGGGGAGUUUUGCACAGUGGGCGGGAGGCUGAUGCAGCGACGCCGGGUGCGGGAUGACGGCCUUCUGGUGGUAAACAGCUUUCGACUGUGACGAGGCGUGAGUGACGGUAAUGGGUAAAGAAGCACCGGCUAACUACGUG